rnacentral:rRNA from 1 species
AUUGAACGCUGGCGGCAUGCCUAACACAUGCAAGUCGAACGGUAACAGGCCCUUCGGGGCGCUGACGAGUGGCGGACGGGUGAGUAAUACUUAGGAAUCUACCCUGUAGUGGGGGACAACCCGAGGAAACUCGGGCUAAUACCGCAUACGCUCUACGGAGGAAAGCGGGGGACCGCAAGGCCUCGCGCUAUUGGAUGAGCCUAAGCCCGAUUAGCUAGUUGGUGGGGUAAUGGCCACCAAGGCAAUGAUCGGUAGCUGGUCUGAGAGGACGACCAGCCACACUGGGACUGAGACACGGCCCAGACUCCUACGGGAGGGCAGCAGUGGGGAAUAUUGGACAAUGGGCGAAAGCCUGAUCCAGCGAUGCCGCGUGUGUGAAGAAGGCCU